CCUACGGGAGGCAGCAGUGGGGAAUAUUGCACAAUGGGGGAAACCCUGAUGCAGCGACGCCGCGUGAGGGAAGAAGUAAUUCGGUAUGUAAAGCUCUAUCAGCAGGGGAGAAAAUGCCGGUACCUGAGCACGAAGCCCCGGCUAACUACGUGCCAGCAGCCGCUGUAAUUCGGAGGGGGCAAGCGUUAUCCGGAUUUACUGGGUGUACAGGGAGCGUAGACGGCAGUGAAAGUCUGGAGGGAAAAGCGGGGGCUCAACCCCGGGACGGCUCUGGAAACUGGACGCCUUGAGUGCAGGAGAGGUAAGUGGAAUUCGUAGUGUAGCGGUGAAAUGCGUAGAUAUUAGGAGGAACACCAGUUGCGAAGGCGGCUUACCGGACGGUGACUGACGUUGAGGCUCGAAAGCGUGGGGAGCAAACAGGAUUAGAUACCCGUGUAGUC
rnacentral:rRNA from 1 species